AUUGAACGCUGGCGGCAGGCCUAACACAUGCGAGUCGAGCGGAUGAAGGGAGCUUGCUCCUGGAUUCAGCGGCGGACGGGUGAGUAAUGCCUAGGAAUCUGCCUGGUAGUGGGGGAUAACGUCCGGAAACGGGCGCUAAUACCGCAUACGUCCUGAGGGAGAAAGUGGGGGAUCUUCGGACCUCACGCUAUCAGAUGAGCCUAGGUCGGAUUAGCUAGUUGGUGGGGUAAAGGCCUACCAAGGCGACGUUCCGUAACUGGUCUGAGAGGAUGAUCAGUCACACUGGACCUGAGACACGGUCCAGACUCCUACGGGAGGCAGCAGUGGGGAAUAUUGGACGAUGGGCGAAAGCCUGAUCCAGCCAUGCCGCGUGUGUGAAGAAGGUCUUCGGAUUGUAAAGCACUUUAAGUUGGGAGGAAGGGCAGUAAGUUAAUACCUUGCUGUUUUGACGUUACCAACAGAAUAAGCACCGGCUAACUUCGUG
rnacentral:rRNA from 1 species